GACGAACGCUGGCGGCGUGCUUAACACAUGCAAGUCGAACGCUGAAGCUCAGCUUUUGUUGGGUGGAUGAGUGGCGAACGGGUGAGUAACACGUGAGUAACCUGCCCCCUUCUUUGGGAUAACGCCCGGAAACGGGUGCUAAUACUGGAUAUUCACUGGUCUUCGCAUGGGGGUUGGUGGAAAGGGUUUUUCUGGUGGGGGAUGGGCUCGCGGCCUAUCAGCUUGUUGGUGGGGUGAUGGCCUACCAAGGCUUUGACGGGUAGCCGGCCUGAGAGGGUGACCGGUCACAUUGGGACUGAGAUAUGGCCCAGACUCCUACGGGAGGCAGCAGUGGGGAAUAUUGCACAAUGGGCGCAAGCCUGAUGCAGCGACGCCGCGUGAGGGAUGGAGGCCUUCGGGUUGUGAACCUCUUUCGCUCAUGGUCAAGCCGCAACAAUGGUUGUGGUGAGGGUAGUGGGUAAAGAAGCGCCGGCUAACUACGUG
rnacentral:rRNA from 1 species